CUUUUUUCAAUCUUAUUGUUUAUUUUUUAAUUUCUUCGUUGGAAUCUAAUUAAUUGUUCACAUUUCGAUUGUUAUUUUGGAUUAAAUUGUUGGUUUUUAAAAUUCUCUGAGAAUUUGAUUGCUCACAUUAAGGAAAAAUCUUGAUUAAUCUGGUGGCCGUGAUUAGUUGUGGUUAAAAUGGUGGUUGUUGAUGAUAGAGCUGGUGAAUUUUAUUCGUUAAUAUUAAACAAGGGCGUUUAAACUGUGAAACCUUCAUUAUACACCAGCAAUCAAGCAUAUGUAAGACUUGGCAAGUGUAUAAUCACCUUUAAACCAAGAAACAAUCAUGUAGAUUGGAAUCAACAUUUUUCUACAUCAUGUUGCUCUCCCAGUCACUCACUCUCUCGGUGUGCGUGAUGUUUUGGUUAAAGGUGGAAAAAAAGUAAAUCCAGACACACACACACACACUUUUACUAACUACACACAUAAACCAGUUCAAUUGCAGCAUCAUUAUCAUGAUGAUGAGAAAAGUAUUCACAUGUAACCAUGAAACAUGCACCAUUAUUAUGAUUAACAACAACAAUCAACAAAACAUUCAACACUUAAAGAUCAAGAAACAUCAUCCAUGAAUGAAUUAAGAAAAUACAAAAAGCCUCCAACUAAACAAACCACGUGAACAAAGUCACACACCUUUUUUAACAACAUCAACAUAAUCAUCAACAUAAUCAUCGUUAUCGUUACAAUUUCAUCAUUCUCACUUUUGAUAAAUACUAUUUAAAGAUUGAACAACGACACAACUGCAAACAAUCAACAAACACACGUACACUCACAACAAUAGAAUACACGAAUCUCUUUACAGAAAGAAAAAGUCUUGAGACAAGGGUUGGGUUCUCAUCAUCAUCAUCGUCAUCGUCCACCACACGAGUCUCAAUAAUGGAUAAAGAAAUAAUAGGAAGAGAAAGCAAGAAGAAGAAAAAACGUUCGCUUCCAUUGUUAACAUGAUGAUAGAAAAAGAAAAAAGCAAAUCUUAUUGAUGGCUGUUUAUAAGGUGACUUGUGCCUGUGUCCGUGUGUAUUUGCGAGUGAGUGAGUGUAUGUGUGUAAAAAAAAAGGUUGAAAGGACCAUUUUACUACAACUACUACUACUUUUACUAUUACUACAAAUACUUGCACAUUGCACAUUGCAAAGGUAAAAGGUACGUGUCACUGGCACACUCGUCAUGGGAAAAUAAUAUCAACCUUUACAUUGGAUUUUUCAAUCUUUUCUCUAUGGACACUGUAAACCAUUCACCUUUUGUUAAUCUUCAUCAUCUUUGUCAUCAUUUUGCCAUAGAAAACGAAAAUAUAAUGAUAAUGAUUAAAGAUUAUUAAUGGUUGGUUAAUUUCUCAAUGAUUUCAGUUAACUCUCCCAACGAUUAUCCAAUUAAUAACAGUUAAUUCCACUGUCACCGUUUUCUUUUUACUUCCAUUCAAAGAUUUGUUUUUCCAACGGUCCAACAAUUAGAUUACUAACUAAACGUUAAUCUGAUAAACUUUACUGUUAACUAUUGAUGAAACUAAUCUGAUUGUCGUUAGAUAAUUUCGUUGGAUAUGGAUUCGCGCGAAUUGAUAAAUUGGAGAUAAAUUUAAUUUCAUCGGUAGUAAAUUAAAGGCAUUUGGUGGUUCAUGGGAUUGACAAAGUGCAUCUAAGUAAUUAGAUUAAUUAUGAAUAGAUAUUUAAUCAAUUUAUGAUGUUGAUUAAAUCUAUUUACAGAGAAAGAGAUCAAUAGAAG